rnacentral:rRNA from 1 species
CUUAACACAUGCAAGUCGAACGGUAACAGGAAGCAGCUUGCUGCUUCGCUGACGAGUGGCGGACGGGUGAGUAAUGUCUGGGAAACUGCCUGAUGGAGGGGGAUAACUACUGGAAACGGUAGCUAAUACCGCAUAACGUCGCAAGACCAAAGAGGGGGACCUUCGGGCCUCUUGCCAUCGGAUGUGCCCAGAUGGGAUUAGCUAGUAGGUGGGGUAACGGCUCACCUAGGCGACGAUCCCUAGCUGGUCUGAGAGGAUGACCAGCCACACUGGAACUGAGACACGGUCCAGACUCCUACGGGAGGCAGCAGUGGGGAAUAUUGCACAAUGGGCGCAAGCCUGAUGCAGCCAUGCCGCGUGUAUGAAGAAGGCCUUCGGGUUGUAAAGUACUUUCAGCGGGGAGGAAGGCGAUAAGGUUAAUAACCUUGUCGAUUGACGUUACCCGCAGAAGAAGCACCGGCUAACUCCGUGCCAGCAGCCGCGGUAAUACGGAGGGUGCAAGCGUUAAUCGGAAUUACUGGGCGUAAAGCGCACGCAGGCGGUCUGUCAAGUCGGAUGUGAAAUCCCCGGGCUCAACCUGGGAACUGCAUUCGAAACUGGCAGGCUAGAGUCUUGUAGAGGGGGGUAGAAUUCCAGGUGUAGCGGUGAAAUGCGUAGAGAUCUGGAGGAAUACCGGUGGCGAAGGCGGCCCCCUGGACAAAGACUGACGCUCAGGUGCGAAA